rfam:TPA: Bos taurus chromosome 12, whole genome shotgun sequence.
CAAGAGGCUCUUUUAAUAGCCAUAAACACACUCAGAAAACUAUAUU